GUCAUUCAUUAAGUGGGGUUAAAACACCUGUGGGGUGUGCGAGAGGAAGGGAAGAAUGGGGGUGCUGGAGCACAUAUUUUAUUGACCGUUACAAGCCUGUACAAAUAAAACAACAUUUAAGUUUUUAAGGAAACGCGUCACGAAAGUUAUUCCUCCACUCAGCUCCUUAGGGGUCUGUGGAUUGUUCAUUUUGCGCCGCUACAAGUUAGUCAACAAAAUUGUUUGUUUGAGAACGUGAAAGCGUUUAGACUGGAUGGAAAGGAAUUACACGCUUGUUUUAACAAGAAGGAUCAUUGCACAUUGGACUUCCAAAGCAACGGGGCCGAUGUCUUUGGAUUCGUUCGCUGCUAAUAAUCAUCACAACUGGACGUUCAAGGCAGCAGGAUCGACAGCUUGGAGAUGUUUGGUUUGCCGCUCUUGAACUGGAUUUUAACCCUUUGCUAGCUACAGUGCAGAAUGACUGUUUUGUAAUAGCAUCAGAAAGCCCUUCCAAGCACAGAUGCUUCCUGCAGCUUGAGGCCUGUGGUAAGCUUUGGUUAGGAUGCUCUAUCUGGAGAAGAGCACUGUUAUCAGAACAUGAACCCCGUCAGAGCCGCUCACAGAGGACUACAGCAGUGCUGCUCGUGAUGCGAGCGAUAUCAGACGAUCACACUCACGGAUACCAGAAUUAAAAUACACACAAGUCA